rnacentral:rRNA from 1 species
GAGAGGAGUGGGCAUUUAAAAAUGUAUUCAUUUGCAU